rnacentral:lncRNA from 1 species
GGCUAUUAUAACUCCAGCUGAAAUGCCAAGGCUGAAGACGUCUCAUUAACAGAUUGAGAUUUCGAUUGCGUCAUUCUUUGAGACUCGCUGCCUUGUGGAGAUGCAGCACUUCUGAGACUGAGGGCGUAUUGCGAAAGAAAAAAUUCCCACAAAAUGGAGUGCAGGUUAAGGUGAAGCCACAUCAUGUGUAUAUAAUACUUGGGACACCACGUAGCUGCACUACAUCCUCCCGAGACACCAGAAGGAAGAUUUCAACAUGGCAAGUGGACGCACUUUCCUCCUCGUGGCGGUGGCCCUGCUGGUCGUGUUCCAAGCGUGCAUGACCUUUGCAUGGGAAGGAGACGGCUACAGGUCCUCCGAGCACGGCGACGGGUACGACUUCGACGACCACUACAGUCACGACGGCGACCGGAGCCACGAGACCUUCGGCUACAAAGACUGGUGAUUCGCGCGUCCAUUUGGGAGACUCCAAAUAGGCAGAUUAAGACAAUGCUGUCCAUUUGGGAGACUCCAAAUAGGCAGAUUAAGACAAUGCUGUCAGUUAGGAUAUAGAUAUAGUAAAGAUGCAUCUGAU